rnacentral:rRNA from 1 species
CUGGGUUCAGAACGUCGUGAGACAGUUCGGUCCCUAUCCGUCGCAGGCGUAGGAAAUUUGAGAAGACCUGUCCUUAGUACGAGAGGACCGGGAUGGACGUACCUCUGGUGUACCAGUUGUCCUGCCAAGGGCAUGGCUGGGUAGCUAUGUACGGAAUGGAUAAGCGCUGAAAGCAUCUAAGCGCGAAGCCAACUUCAAGAUAAGAUUUCCCACCGCAAGGGUAAGACCCCAGAAAGACUAUCUGGUUGAUAGGUCGAAGGUGUAAGUGCAGUAAUGUAUUUAGCUUAUCGAUACUAAUAGGUCGAGGACUUGACCAAU